rnacentral:sRNA from 1 species
AAAAUAAGCCUUUUUGAUAUUUUUGGAAUCUUUUGAGAGUGUUUAUUAUUUCUUGUCAGUGGUUGUCAAUGGUGCGUAAUAUUCAUUGGUUUGGUUAAUGGUGUGUAAUAUCAAUGCACGAUCCGACUAAUUGCGUCAUAUCCAAGGGGUCUUGUAGAGAGUGAUUCUCAUUUCAUCCUCGAAUUCGUCUUAGUGUGUCAUAUCUAAGGGAUUCAAGUUCGGUAAAUUAAGAGUCUUCCGCAGCUCUUGUGUGACCAUUCGCUCCACCAUUCUUAUCUUUCGUAGUUUAACUUUUUCAUUUAGAAUCUAAAAAAUAUCUUUACACCGAUUUAGAGUGCCGACUCUUUGAAAGAUUCUCAUCACUUUAGAUCUAGCCAUAUGCAAUUGUGGCCUUGUGUGGGAGAUAUACUACAUAGCUUCAUGUACCUCAACUCAUGAAGAUU